rnacentral:rRNA from 1 species
GACGAACGCUGGCGGCGUGCCUAAUACAUGCAAGUAGAACGCUGAAGGAGGAGCUUGCUUCUCUGGAUGAGUUGCGAACGGGUGAGUAACGCGUAGGUAACCUGCCUGGUAGCGGGGGAUAACUAUUGGUAACGAUAGCUAAUACCGCAUAAGAGUAGAUGUCGCAUGACAUUUGCUUAAAAGGUGCAAUUGCAUCACUACCAGAUGGACCUGCGUUGUAUUAGCUAGUUGGUGAGGUAACGGCUCACCAAGGCAACGAUACAUAGCCGACCUGAGAGGGUGAUCGGCCACACUGGGACUGAGACACGGCCCAGACUCCUACGGGAGGCAGCAGUAGGGAAUCUUCGGCAAUGGACGGAAGUCUGACCGAGCAACGCCGCGUGAGUGAAGAAGGUUUUCGGAUCGUAAAGCUCUGUUGUAAGAGAAGAACGAGUGUGAGAGUGGAAAGUUCACACUGUGACGGUAUCUUACCAGAAAGGGACGGCUAACUACGUG